rnacentral:rRNA from 1 species
UGAGGAACAUGACCUUCGGCGGGGGAUAGCCGGCCCAACGGCCGGGUAAUACCGCGUACGACCACUUGGGGACAUCCCUAGGUGGUGAAAGCAGCAAUGCGCCGAUGGAGUGCCUCGCGGCCUAUCAGCUAGUUGGUGAGGUAACGGCUCACCAAGGCGACGACGGGUAGCUGGU